AGUGGAGUCACCCAUUCAAAAUGGAAAUUCAGGGAAUAGAGGAACAAUUUCAAUAUCAUGAUGAGAUCAGCUAAAUCCAGAAGGAAUUCAGACUAUUGUUGGCAGGCUCUAAGGUAGAAACUACUCGUUGGAAGAUCAUGGCAGACCAAAGAGGCUUAGUUCAUAGUGGCCGGGAAUUACAUCAGAGGAACAGUGCCAGAGAAGAACAGCUCCUGCUGCCAUGUACUCAAGGCCCCUGAGUGUCAAGAUCAAGUUCUUCCUGUGAGGGAAUCUGAAUGACCCAGUCACCUUUGUGCCUAUUGGACCCAACUGUUUCCCAAGACUACUCAUGGGUUGACAGUCAGUGUAUG
rnacentral:lncRNA from 1 species